rnacentral:rRNA from 1 species
GACGAACGCUGGCGGCGUGCCUAAUACAUGCAAGUCGAACGCAGUGGGGACGGGUGAGUAACACGUGGGUAACCUCCCAUCAGAGGGGAUAACACUUGGAAACAGGUGCUAAACCGAUACUGAUGGAUGGACCCGCGGUGCAUUAGCUAGUUGGUGAGGUAACGGCUCACCAAGGCCACGAUGCAUAGCGGACGUGAGGGGGUGAGCGGCCAACAGGGGACUGAGACACGGCCCAGCCGCCUACGGGAGGAAGCAGUAGGGAAUCUUCGGCAAUGGACGAAGGUCGGACCGAGCAACGCCGCGUGAGUGAAGAAGGUUUUCGGAUCGUAAAACUCUGUUGUUAGAGAAAGGGUAUCUAACCAGAAGGCCACGGCAAACUACGGGCCAGCAGCGGCGUAAUUC